rnacentral:misc_RNA from 1 species
UGCCUACCAACAUAAUAAAUAUGUCUCUUCUAUUUAUGAAAUUCUUUUAGUAUAUGUCAAUCUUUGGUCAUAUAUCUGUUUUCCCUACCACCUUUAUCAAUCAUCAUCCACUCAAAUCAUGUUGCUCGACCUGCAAAUAAGAACAAUAGCUCAUUGGGACUUCAGUUUGGCCAAUUAACUGGUCAAUCCCUCCUAUAUCAGGACUCUGGAAGUACAUGUGAUUGAGCAUGAGUGCUAAAUUUUCAUCCACUUGGGUUUCAUCAGAUUUGGUCUUUUUGUCUUUAGCUGAGUCAUGAUGGUUUGGUAUUGGUGGCAGAGCUGCUUGCUUUCUUUUUGAACGAGCUCUCCUGUUCUGGAACCAAUUAUAGACAUUUGUUUCAGAAAUUGGGCCAUGCUCAGCAAGUUGAAUGGUAAUCUCUCUGAUUCUCUGCCUGUCUGGAGUUGUACUGCUUUGCUCAAACAUACUCUCCAGGAUUUCAAGCUGCGCUGGUUUGGGAGCCCACCUCUGCCUGGAAGGAAUCUUGUGGAAAGCAUAUGAUGAAAAUGGAUCAUUGUAAGGAUUGGCCAACCGCAUACCAGUAGAAUCUUGUUGAGCAGAUAUGGCCUUGUGCAUCUGAACAAGACUCUCGCAGAUGGUAGCAUAAACAGAGAUCUGUUUCCUCAGCAUCUCCAUUUGCUCAUCGGUCAUCACUUUCACCCCUAACCCAUCACUCAAUACCCCAUUCUGAUACUGCUCUUCCUCCCCCAUCUCCACUUCUCUUGGCUUUCUUGAUGUUUUCUUUCUCUUUCUCUCUCUUUUCUCUUCAC